rnacentral:rRNA from 1 species
AGCAGCCGCGGUAAUUCCAGCUCCAAUAGCGUAUAUUAAAGUUGUUGCAGUUAAAAAGCUCGUAGUUGAAUUUCGGGAUCAGUACGCUGGUCGUGCCUUUGGUAUGUACUGGUGUCACUGAUUCCUCCCUUCUGAAGAACCGUUAUGCCAUUUAUUUGGUGUGGCGGGGAAUCAGGACUGUUACUUUGAAAAAAUUAGAGUGUUUAAAGCAGGCUCGCGCUUGAAUACAUUAGCAUGGAAUAAUGAAAUAGGACGUUUGAUCUUAUUUUGUUGGUUUCUAGGAUCGACGUAAUGAUUAAUAGGGAUAGUUGGGGGCAUUAGUAUUCAAUUGUCAGAGGUGAAAUUCUUGGAUUUAUUGAAGACUAACUACUGCGAAAGCAUUUGCCAAGGAUGUUUUCAUUAAUCAAGAACGAAAGUUAGGGGAUCGAAGACGAUCAGAUACCGUCGUAGUCUUAACCAUAA